rnacentral:rRNA from 1 species
CCUACGGGGAGCAGCAGUGAGGAAUAUUGGUCAAUGGACGCAAGUCUGGACCAGCCAUGCCGCGUGCAGGAAGACGGCUCUAUGAGUUGUAAACUGCUUUUGUACGAGGGUAAACGCAGAUACGCGUAUCUGUCUGAAAGUAUCGUACGAAUAAGGAUCGGCUAACUCCGUGCCAGCAGCCGCGGUAAUACGGAGGAUUCAAGCGUUAUCCGGAUUUAGUGGGUUUAAAGGGUGCGUAGGCGGUCGGAUAAGUUAGAGGUGAAAUCCCGGGGCUCAACUUCGGAAUUGCCUCUGAUACUGUUCGGCUAGAGAGUAGUUGCGGUAGGCGGAAUGUAUGGUGUAGCGGUGAAAUGCUUAGAGAUCAUACAGAACACCGAUUGCGAAGGCAGCUUACCAAGCUACUUCUGACGUUGAGGCACGAAAGCGUGGGGAGCAAACAGGAUUAGAUACCCUUGUAGUC